GGCUUAGAAGCAAGGAAUCAGGAGUUCCCGUCGUCGUUGUGCCGUGGAAACGAAUCCGACUAGGAACCAUGAGGUUGCGGGUUCAAUCCCUGCCCUCGCUCAGUGGGUUGAGGAUUUGGUGUUAAUCUUGAGCUGUGGGGUAGGUCGCAGACGCAGCUUGGAUCCUGCUGUGGUGUGGCAUAGGCUGGCAGCUGUAGCUCCAAUUGGACCCCUGGCCUGGGACCCUCCAUUUGCUGUGGGCAUGGCUCUCAAAAGCAAACAGAUAAAUUAAUUAAUUAAAAAUUUAAAGAAAAGAAGCAAGGGAUAAAUUGGAUAGGGCCUUGUGGCCAUAGUGAGAAGUUUCCUUUUUAUUCUAGGAGGAAAUGGAAGCCAUGAGCUAACUAGGCCAGAAUUCAAAACCUUCUACAUAUACCAUGCUGUGUAUCUCAGGUGAGUCACUGUACCUCUCUGAUCUUUAGAUGUUCUCAGUGUGGGAAGAGAGAAGAAAGAGAGAAAUACACCAGGAAGGAGAUUCCAGGGCCGUUGAAUUUUCUCCUGUCUUACACCCUCCCUCAAAAGUGGGGCAGAGAGAUUUCCUUCAAAGAAGAUCACAGCUUCCCCACCUGUCAGUGGAACCCAGGACUUGGAGCCGUGGAGGCUAAGGUCUGAAUCCCAGCAGCUCUGGAUGCUUGUUGUAUGUGACUGAACAAAUCGCUUAAUCGCUCCCAGCUGCCAUCAUCACCACUCUAGAAGGGGCUCCAUAAGCUCUGCCUUCCCGACUUCUGGUAACAGGGUUCCUCUGAAAUCCAGUAUCUACAGUCGGCCUUAAAAUAGGAAGGGCUGCUCAUUCCACUCUCU
rnacentral:lncRNA from 1 species